GAUGAACGCUGGCGGCGUGCCUAAUACAUGCAAGUCGAGCGAACAGACGAGGAGCUUUCUCCUCUGACGUUAGCGGCGGACGGGUGAGUAACACGUGGAUAACCUACCUAUAAGACUGGGAUAACUUCGGGAAACCGGAUCUAAUACCGGAUAAUAUAUUGAACCGCAUGGUUCAAUAGUGAAAGACGGUUUUGCUGUCACUUAUAGAUGGAUCCGCGCCGCAUUAGCUAGUUGGUAAGGUAACGGCUUACCAAGGCAACGAUGCGUAGCCGACCUGAGAGGGUGAUCGGCCACACUGGAACUGAGACACGGUCCAGACUCCUACGGGAGGCAGCAGUAGGGAAUAUUCCGCAAUGGGCGAAAGCCUGACGGAGCAACGCCGCGUGAGUGAUGAAGGUCUUCGGAUCGUAAAACUCUGUUAUUAGGGAAGAACAAAUGUGUAAGUAACUAUGCACGUCUUGACGGUACCUAAUCAGAAAGCCACGGCUAACUACGUG
rnacentral:rRNA from 1 species